GCCUGGGUGGCUCAGUCGGUUAAGCGUCCGACUUCGGCUCAGGUCAUGAUCUUGCGGUCCGUGGGUUCGAGCCCCGCGUCGGGCU
rnacentral:tRNA from 1 species